UAGGUUCCCUCCAUGUGAACAGAUAUAUGCUAGGAUGUUUGAGAAGAAAGUGUGGAGUAUUAAAUAUGUUACAGUUGCAGGCACCUCAGUUUAAAAAGGCCAUUUAUAAGUUGUAGAAUAUCCAGCGGAUGGAAACCAGCAUGGUGAAGAGGUUUGAGUCUAUGCCAUUUGAGGAUCAAUUGAAGGAAGCGGAUAUAUGUAAGCAAGAGGAGAGAGAACGGAAUGAAGAAAAGAUGGACAAUGACAGCAAAAGAUAACCAGUGGACA